rnacentral:rRNA from 1 species
CAAUAGCGUAUAUUAAAGUUGUUGCGGUUAAAAAGCUCGUAGUUGGAUUUCUGUUGAGAGCAGCCGGUCUGCACUUGGUGCAUGUAUCUGGUUUGAUCUCGGCAUCCUCUCAAAAUACGUUUCUGCGCUUGAUUGCGUGGAGCGGAGUUUGGGACUUUUACUUUGAGGAAAUUAGAGUGUUCACGGCAGGCAAUCGCCUUGAAUAUAUUAGCAUGGAAUAAUAACAUAGGAUCUUUGUCCUAUUUUGUUGGUUUCUAGGGCUGAGAUAAUGAUUAAUAGGGAUAAUUGGGGGCAUCUGUAUCAACGCGUCAGAGGUGGAAUUCUUGGAUUGCGUUGCGACAAACUACUGCGAAAGCAUUUGCCAAGGAUGUUUUCAUUGA